rnacentral:rRNA from 1 species
CCUACGGGAGGCAGCAGUGGGGAAUAUUGCACAAUGGGGGAAACCCUGAUGCAGCGACGCCGCGUGAGUGAAGAAGUAUUUCGGUACGUAAAGCUCUAUCAGCAGGGAAGAAAAACCGGCCUUAGGGCCGCCAGACGGUACCUGACUAAGAAGCCCCGGCUAACUACGUGCCAGCAGCCGCGGUAAUACGUAGGGGGCAAGCGUUAUCCGGAUUUACUGGGUGUAAAGGGGGCGCAGACGGCGAUGCAAGCCAGGAGUGAAAGCCCGGGGCCCAACCCCGGGACUGCUCUUGGAACUGCGUGGCUGGAGUGCAGGAGGGGCAGGCGGAAUUCCUGGUGUAGCGGUGAAAUGCGUAGAUAUCAGGAGGAACACCGGUGGCGAAGGCGGCCUGCUGGACUGCAACUGACGUUGAGGCCCGAAAGCGUGGGGAGCAAACAGGAUUAGAUACCCCUGUAGUC